AUGAAAUUUAAAUUAAAAAAAAACUCUUUUCUUUUCUUUUCAUUAUUUUUAUCUCUCUUUUUCCAUUUUCUUCCUUCUUCCUCUCACGUUCUUUCUACUUCUCUUUUUCUUUUCAUUUUUUUCUUUCUCUCUCUUUCUUCAUUUUCUUCUUCCUUCAUUUCUCCAUCUUUCGCCGAAGAUGACUUUAGAUUAGAAAGUUUUUUGAGUCCUUCUGUUUCUUCUGUCUGUUCUUCCGUAGUUCUCUAA